rfam:Oryza barthii chromosome 8, whole genome shotgun sequence.
AAAAAGACAAAACCUGAGUUUCUGUGUCUAACGUUUGACCGUUCGUCUUAUUUAAAAAAAAUAUGAAAAAAAUUAAAAAGAUAAAUCACACAUAAAGUAUUAAUCAUGUUUUAUCAUCUAACAAUAAUGAAAAUAAUAAUUAUAAAAAAAUAUCACAUAAGACGGACAGUCAAACGUUGAAUAUGGAAAUCCAGAGUUUGUCUUUUU